GAGUUUGAUCAUGGCUCAGAUUGAACGCUGGCGGCAGGCCUAACACAUGCAAGUCGAACGGUAACAGGAAGCAGCUUGCUGCUUCGCUGACGAGUGGCGGACGGGUGAGUAAUGUCUGGGAAACUGCCUGAUGGAGGGGGAUAACUACUGGAAACGGUAGCUAAUACCGCAUAACGUCGCAAGACCAAAGAGGGGGACCUUCGGGCCUCUUGCCAUCGGAUGUGCCCAGAUGGGAUUAGCUUGUUGGUGGGGUAACGGCUCACCAAGGCGACGAUCCCUAGCUGGUCUGAGAGGAUGACCAGCCACACUGGAACUGAGACACGGUCCAGACUCCUACGGGAGGCAGCAGUGGGGAAUAUUGCACAAUGGGCGCAAGCCUGAUGCAGCCAUGCCGCGUGUAUGAAGAAGGCCUUCGGGUUGUAAAGUACUUUCAGCGGGGAGGAAGGGAGUAAAGUUAAUACCUUUGCUCAUUGACGUUACCCGCAGAAGAAGCACCGGCUAACUCCGUGCCAGCAGCCGCGGUAAUACGGAGGGUGCAAGCGUUAAUCGGAAUUACUGGGCGUAAAGCGCACGCAGGCGGUUUGUUAAGUCAGAUGUGAAAUCCCCGGGCUCAACCUGGGAACUGCAUCUGAUACUGGCAAGCUUGAGUCUCGUAGAGGGGGGUAGAAUUCCAGGUGUAGCGGUGAAAUGCGUAGAGAUCUGGAGGAAUACCGGUGGCGAAGGCGGCCCCCUGGACGAAGACUGACGCUCAGGUGCGAAAGCGUGGGGAGCAAACAGGAUUAGAUACCCUGGUAGUCCACGCCGUAAACGAUGUCGACUUGGAGGUUGUGCCCUUGAGGCGUGGCUUCCGGAGCUAACGCGUUAAGUCGACCGCCUGGGGAGUACGGCCGCAAGGUUAAAACUCAAAUGAAUUGACGGGGGCCCGCACAAGCGGUGGAGCAUGUGGUUUAAUUCGAUGCAACGCGAAGAACCUUACCUGGUCUUGACAUCCACGGAAGUUUUCAGAGAUGAGAAUGUGCCUUCGGGAACCGUGAGACAGGUGCUGCAUGGCUGUCGUCAGCUCGUGUUGUGAAAUGUUGGGUUAAGUCCCGCAACGAGCGCAACCCUUAUCCUUUGUUGCCAGCGGUCCGGCCGGGAACUCAAAGGAGACUGCCAGUGAUAAACUGGAGGAAGGUGGGGAUGACGUCAAGUCAUCAUGGCCCUUACGACCAGGGCUACACACGUGCUACAAUGGCGCAUACAAAGAGAAGCGACCUCGCGAGAGCAAGCGGACCUCAUAAAGUGCGUCGUAGUCCGGAUUGGAGUCUGCAACUCGACUCCAUGAAGUCGGAAUCGCUAGUAAUCGUGGAUCAGAAUGCCACGGUGAAUACGUUCCCGGGCCUUGUACACACCGCCCGUCACACCAUGGGAGUGGGUUGCAAAAGAAGUAGGUAGCUUAACCUUCGGGAGGGCGCUUACCACUUUGUGAUUCAUGACUGGGGUGAAGUCGUAACAAGGUAACCGUAGGGGAACCUGCGGU
rnacentral:rRNA from 1 species